rnacentral:rRNA from 1 species
AUUGAACGCUGGCGGCAGGCUUAACACAUGCAAGUCGAGCGGGGUGAUGGUGCUUGCACUAUCACUUAGCGGCGGACGGGUGAGUAAUGCUUAGGAAUCUGCCUAUUAGUGGGGGACAACAUCUCGAAAGGGAUGCUAAUACCGCAUACGUCCUACGGGAGAAAGCAGGGGAUCACUUGUGACCUUGGGCUAAUAGAUGAGCCUAAGUCGGAUUAGCGAGUUGGUGGGGUAAAGGCCUACCAAGGCGACGAUCUGUAGCGGGUCUGAGAGGAUGAGCCGCCCCACUGGGACUGGGACACGGCCCAGACUCCUACGGGAGGCAGCAGGGGGGAAUAUUUGACAAUGGGGGGAACCCUGAUCCAGCCAGGCCGCGUGUGGGAAGAAGGCCUGAUGGUUGUAAAGCACUUGAAGCGAGGAGGAGGCUCUUUUGGUUAAUACCCAGGAUGAGUGGACGUUACUCGCAGAAUAAGCACCGGCUAACUCUGUGCCAGCCGCCGCAGUAACUC